rnacentral:tRNA from 2 species
GGUGAUAUGGCCGAGUGGGUCUAAGGCGCCUGGUUAGUUAGCAUCUUCGUGCACGUUUUGGAAUUUAUACUAAUCGUAGACAGACUUAAGUCACUUUAACUAGUGAGACUUCAGGUCUCGAAAGAGGCGUGGGUUCGAACCCCACUGUCACCA